rnacentral:rRNA from 1 species
UACGAAGGGGGCUAGCGUUGCUCGGAAUCACUGGGCGUAAAGGGUGCGUAGGCGGGUCUUUAAGUCAGGGGUGAAAUCCUGGAGCUCAACUCCAGAACUGCCUUUGAUACUGAGGAUCUUGAGUUCGGGAGAGGUGAGUGGAACUGCGAGUGUAGAGGUGAAAUUCGUAGAUAUUCGCGAAGAACACCAGUGGCGAAGGCGGCUCACUGGCCCGAUACUGACGCUGAGGCACGAAAGCGUGGGGAGCAAACAGGG